rnacentral:rRNA from 1 species
UACACGUGAUGUGAAUCAUCGAAUCUUUGAACGCAUCUUGCACUUUUUAGGUCUCCUAGAAAGUAUACUUGUUUGAGUAUCAUUAACAUUAACUCCAAGCUUCCGCUUGGGAAUUGAGACUUUAAGCCGCGCAGGCAGCCUAUGUCUUUGAAGUGAUAUGUAGAGUGUUGUGCUAGUCACAAGCCUCCUCCCAUACCAAAUGUGAGAUAAAUAUCGCACAGAGUAGUUGAGAAGGUCAAGCCCCGCUACGCCCAGAAGUGUGUGCUUCUUGUCACACUUCAACCCCACUUUGAAUCAGUGAUCUCAAAUCAAGUAAGACUACCCGCUGAACUUAAGCAUAUCAAUAAGCGGAGG